AGGAGGAGCUUGCUCCUCCGGAUUAGUGGCGAACGGGUGAGUAAUACGUGAGCAAUGUGCCCUUGACUCUGGGAUAAGCGCUGGAAACGGCGUCUAAUACCGGAUACGACGAUCGGAGGCAUCUCCUGGUCGUGGAAAGAACUUCGGUCAAGGAUCAGCUCACGGCCUAUCAGCUUGUUGGUGAGGUAAUGGCUCACCAAGGCGACGACGGGUAGCCGGCCUGAGAGGGUGACCGGCCACACUGGGACUGAGACACGGCCCAGACUCCUACGGGAGGCAGCAGUGGGGAAUAUUGCACAAUGGGCGCAAGCCUGAUGCAGCAACGCCGCGUGAGGGACGAAGGCCUUCGGGUUGUAAACCUCUUUUAGCAGGGAAGAAGCGAGAGUGACGGUACCUGCAGAAAAAGCACCGGCUAACUACGUGCCAGCAGCCGCGGUAAUACGUAGGGUGCAAGCGUUGUCCGGAAUUAUUGGGCGUAAAGAGCUCGUAGGCGGUUUGUCGCGUCUGCUGUGAAAACCCGAGGCUCAACCUCGGGCUUGCAGUGGGUACGGGCAGACUAGAGUGCGGUAGGGGAGAUUGGAAUUCCUGGUGUAGCGGUGGAAUGCGCAGAUAUCAGGAGGAACACCGAUGGCGAAGGCAGAUCUCUGGGCCGUAACUGACGCUGAGGAGCGAAAGCAUGGGGAGCAAACAGGCUUAGAUACCCUGGUAGUCCAUGCCCGUAAACGUUGGGAACUAGAUGUGGGGACCAUUCCACGGUCUCCGUGUCUAGCUAACGCAUUAAGUUCCCCGCCUGGGGAGUACGGCCGCAGGGU
rnacentral:rRNA from 1 species